UUCAUUUCAGGGGUGUUAGGUCUCAGACCUGU
rnacentral:piRNA from 1 species